rnacentral:lncRNA from 1 species
UCCUUAAAUAGGAAAAGAAAAUAUCCUAACAGAAAAAUAAAUAAUAUCCUAAAAGAUCCUAAUUAAAAAUAAAAGAUCCUAAUUGAAAAUAAAUAAGUUCCUAACAAAAAAUAAGUAAGAUCAUAAAGAUUCUAACUUAAUUAAAAAAACAUAAUAAAUCCUAAAUUGAUUUAAAAAUACUAAAAAUAAUAACUUCCUAAUUAAUUGCUCCUGCAUUAGACGGAAACACGCGCAACAUCUUCAUCAAAACGCGCAGCAAGC